UACAGAGGGGGCAAGCGUUAUUCGGAAUUAUUGGGCGUAAAGGGCGCGUAGGCGGCGUGUCAAGUCAGGCGUGAAAGCCCCGGGCUCAACCUGGGAACCGCGCUUGAGACUGGCAUGCUCGAGUUCGGGAGAGGAUGGUGGAAUUCCCAGUGUAGAGGUGAAAAUUCGUAGAUAUUGGGAAGAACACCGAUGGCGAAGGCAGCCAUCUGGACCGACACUGACGCUGAGGCGCGAAAGCGUGGGGAGCAAACAGG
rnacentral:rRNA from 1 species